CAGGAGUGUGCCAGUCAACCUUGCGCCAAGCCAUGCCAGCUGUGUGGAACGCAGUCAUCCGAAUGUCAUCCAGGUACAUCACAUUCCAACAUUACAGCACAAUUUGCAGCGAGAGCCAGUUUCCCGAAUGUAAUUGGAGCUACUGACUGUACACGUAUUGCUAUAAAGGCAGCAUCACAUGAUGAAUUUCUUUUUGUUAAUACGAAAUAAUUUAAUUCCAUCAGUGUUCAAACCAUAUGUGACGCAUAAAUGCAUUAGGUUGGGUUGGGAACAGGCUGGAAGCUGGCACAGUGCGAGAUAGGUGGCUGCUUUAUUAGUUUAAUUGGCCCUAAUGAAAACCAGUGUGGGCACAUUUGGGCAUGUGCGCAUUCAUAUAUGAGCCGGUGAAGCAGGCCUGCUGGUGAAAUUUCACAGCUAUGUGUAUCGUGAGCAGCCUAUUGUAUGAUGAGUAUAAUGACAACAUUCAUGAGUUCAGCAUGGGAUGAUCCUUGUCACCUUCAUGGGCUUCCACCACUCCAGUGAGAGCUGUGUCACUCACUAUAUUUUUUUUCUUAUUUCAGUGUGUGCGCUUUGGUUUGAACCUCAGCAUUUAUAUAGCUGCACACACGCAGACACACACACUUAUUUUCAUUUUGUUUCAUAUUGCAGUGAGCUGCAUUGGACAAGGUAGACAGACCCACAGCUUUUGUCUUUUCUGCACUCUGCCUCUACAAGUGCUUUAAUUUUUACACACAACAGCACAGAGACAAUGGUGGACAUCAGCACACACACUCCACCUCACACUCAUGGUACUGUCAACAUGACCCAACCAAACUGUUUAAAUAAAUUUGCAUAUUCAUGUGGAGGCGUGGACAGGGAGGAGCUUGGUCCAUCUGCAUGUGUGCUCAAUUCCACGUUCAGUGGGAUGUACAAAUAGAACGUACUUGGAUCCAUGCGUAUGCACACUUUGGUAAAUCUGGAUAUUUUUUUGCUUUCACCAGUUACUGGGUUUUGGAGUACACCGUGUUUCAGUAGGAAAUCCACGCAUGUCUUUGUACAUGCGGCCCCAAAACACCACACCUACAAUUCAGUUUCAGGCUUACAGAAGAAUACUAUAUGGGUUUUCAAAUAGUCACAUUCACCAACAAUAAAAUACCUGAACUCAGAAUGAAGUCAUUUUCCGAUACACAAACAUCGAUCUGUGAAUAUUGGCAGUGUCCCUGCCGAACACAUACAUAGUUUCAUCAAGACCAAGCCGAUCAGAAGAUUGUACCCCUCUAGCAGCAUCACUAAUGAUGUUACCAGCCUACUUUUUAAAUUGCUGACACAUUACUGCUGCAAAAUGUGCAGCCAUGCCGCUCUGUGUACACCUGAUCCUUUAGUCCACUUAAAAACAACAGGAGCGCCACACAUUCCUCCAUGUAGGCCUGGAGCUGGGGCAGGAAGGGAAUCUGUAUAAAAUUUGCACCAAAUCCCAAUGUGGAUCUCCAUUUGAUCCAAUAUCAUGACUGUGAUCAACUGGGGACAGCUGAAAGCAAACUAAAAGAAUUACUGCUUGAAAAUGUCUGAAGAAAUCCAUCCAGGUCAGUGUCAUUUACAGGGUGAUAUAAACACUGUGCCAGUGUUAGCAGUUAGUUCCAGUCAGCUUGUUUAUGGCAAUUAGAAACUGAAUAUCACCAGCAGUAUAUGUUAAUUGAUGCGUUAGUAAUUAAUACAAAAUGUGAGCAUGCCUUUCUAACUACACAAUGGACUGCAGCACUUUACCCAUCUCACAGAUAGGCAAAGAGCUUUACAGUGAUGCCUAACAUUCAGUUCCCCAGUCCAUUUUAAGGUUUGAAAAUGCAGUUUGAACUCAUUUAGAUCACUGCUGCAGUAAAACCAGAUUACCUUCAUUUAGACAGAUUUCUGUUGGUUUAAGGCCCAGUCACAUGGCACACGGUGAUCGCUGAACGAAGAAAAAAGUCUGCAAUGUGCAAUAAAUAGUUAAAGUAGUUGAUAAAACGUUCUUGCCACUAUUGUUUCUGUAUGAAAAUGUUGCUUUUCGUCUCACAUGGACGAGUCACGUUCAGCUCGUCUGAGCUUUAGUUACUCCUUCGUUCAGAUAUCGUCAACGUUCUUGCAAGACAUCGGACUUGGGAGGUUGGACGAAGUUGCACGACAGUCAAACGUAAUGCUGACAGUACAGGAACUACACAAAUGAUGAGGAACCGUCAAGACAGAAAGCAAAACGGAAUAGGGAUGAAUUGAGGUUGUUGUCAGGAUUCAUUCACAUUUUUCAACAGUUUGAAAAUUCUGACGAAGCGCCAGCUACAGAAACAAAGCUGGAUGACGGUUAAACGAUGUCUCUGAAAGUCAACGUAUGUCCAGAUGUCUUGUCCUUUGUUAGUGCCAUGUGACCAGGGCUUGAGGUCCAUUUAAAGCCUAAUUAAAUCACACUUAAAAUGGGUGUUUACCAUCUCAACCAUAACUGUUGAAAAACCGAUUAUCAUUUUGAUCCAUUUCAGCCAAUUUAAGAUACGUAUUUUUCUGUUGCUUCAGAGCCAUUUAAAGCUAGUGAAAUGAUGAUUAUGAUUAUGAUGAUGAUUUGAAUUAAUGUGAAAAGCUGUCAAACAAAAAAACACACGUCAGUCAUCAUGUUGGAGAAUCUGGAACUCAACAAAAUUUGCUUUUAAAAAAUAUGACCCGAGUGGUUCAUUCAUUUUUUUAAAUUGUCGACUAAGUGUUUCAGCUCCAGGACGUUGUUGCUCCUGAGUGGAGCUUUGAGACCUGAUGGUGAUGGAUGAGAAUGAUGAGAGGUCCCAUGAGUUUGACUGGUUUGAUUUGCAGCGUGUGGAAUGUCUGAGCUCGUCUAGACUCAGACCUGAUGACACAGAGACAUUUGGACCUGGUCUCACUGGCUUACAAACGGACUUAACUUCCACCUGAACCACUUUCCUUCAUACAAACUGUUUUUUCUUUUUUUGUUUUGUUUUUUUAAGAACAGCUUCUUGGACUGAACCUAUCCAACCACUGACACUUGUUUGCUUCUCUGCUUUUCGCUCAGCACAUUUACUCAUUUAUUUCAGUGUUUGAUCAGUAACAUAUAUCCACAAGGCUCGGCUUCACCCACGGAGAAAAACAAAUCAGUAUGGAAUUCUUAUUUUGUGACUUAAAUGCACCUGGGUUUAUAUUUGUGGUUAUCAGAUGUUUUACUCCACACUUCAAUCUCAGAACUUUGUGUAUUUCUGUGUUUGGUAGAUGUGCAUCCUGGUGGGCGAUGUUUCCAAACUGAAACACUAGUUAAUGUUGCAUAAAGUCAUCCACACCUUCACUUUACUUACUGUUGUUUGUGCCAUUGUUAUUUUGCAGUUGUACCAUUUUUCACUUCUUGUCUGUCAGCUGCAGCAGUUCAGUUUGUAACUGGUGAAAAAAAAGACUUGGGAUCAAGAUGGACAGUUUUGCUGCAGCCGUAGAACCCGUGGAAUGAAAGUGACAAAGCGUGUCAGGGUUUAUGUGCUGAGGAAUGUGUGUGGGCAGCACUGGAGGCUGUCUUACUAUCCCCAGAUUCAUGCCUUUAUAUACAGGCAGGUCCAUAAGUAUUUGGACAAUGAGCUUUUUUCUGCGGUGUUGCCUCUGUGUACCGCAGUGGAGUUAAAAGAAAACAAAAUGUGACUGUAGUGUGGACUUUAACAUUUGAUUGAAAGAGUAUAGCAAAAUACCAUAUUAACCAACCAUUUUUAUGCAAAGUUCCACUACUUUACGAGCCCAUAAGUAAUUGGACAAACUACAUGUAAUUAUUGUUACUUAUAUAGGCAGUUUUCUUUAGACAAGUCAGGGGAUGGAUACAUGAACAUCUUUAACUCUGAAUACAUCUUGGACUUUAUUUCCUUCAGUUAUUAAGAAAUAUAAACAGUAUGGUACUGUGUGGUAAAUCUGUCUGGAGGAGGCGGUUUUGAAAAACUGAGUCACUCUGCAAGAAGGACACACGUGAGGGAAGCCUCCAAGACACCCAUAACGACUCUGAAGGAAUUAUUGACUUCUGUGGGUGUGAUUGGAGAACCUGCAUUAAGCAGAUUUUGUCUGUUGCAUAACCAGUCACACAGCUUCAUAAUGGAAUCACACAGACAAGGAUUUUCUUAUGGAACACAGAAACUUUAAGUUACAGUUUGCCAGAAAGGGACAUAGAAGACUUGAGCCUAUGUUUUCUUGUGUGAAAAUCCUGCUCUGUUCCACUCAACCGUGAAAUUGUGACUGGUGAUACAAUGAUCAAAAGCGACACAAUGCAAAGUUUCUCCAAUCGCAGUCACAGGAUAACUCCUCCAGAGUUGGUCAUACUCUUGGUGGCUUCCCUCAUGAAACUUCUUGCACUGCUUGUAAGAACUGCCUAAUACAGUCAGAUUUACCAUACAGCGGUAUUGUACUGUUUGUUUUCUUAAUGACUGAUGUAAGUGAAGUCCAAGACAUUCAGAGACUUGGAAAUGUUCAUGUAUCUAUCCCCUGACUGUUUGUAAAGAAAACUGUCUGCAAAAUGGAUUUUUUUUUAUUAACAAUAAUCACAACUCUAAUUUUGUUCAAAUACUUAAGAGGAAUUGAAAAGGGAGGGACUGAAUAAAAAUAACAGUAAUUGACAAAUAAUUAAUGUGAUAUAUUUAUUAAAUCUUUGACUUAAAGCUUGAAUGAAACCUGGUGUUACUAUGUACAGUAAAUACUUGUGGACCUGACUGCAUUCAAACAGUUGUCAAUUAAACUGCACUAUUUUGGAGGACAGAGCACUUUGAUUUGAAACUUCAGAAAAUCUAAAUAACAGUCAUCCAUUUUUUAAGCUUUACUUGACUUUCUUCAACCUUACUUGUUUUGGGAGAAGAAAAUGGUGAGUAGUUAUCACUGACUUAAAGACAAACUAAAGAUCCUGUACUUCAUGCCAGCAGGGGGUGCGCGUCACUGCAUAGUGACACAUGGUGUUUGAGUUUAGGAGCUAAACCACUUUGAACAGGAUGAGAUUGAUGGAUGGACGUUGAACGGGAUUCCACGCUGUUUCCUUCCUUUCUUUAGGCCUUUCUUUGUCAGCUGCCACUGAACAGAGAAGAGAAGCGCUGUAGGUUUGUGUGUACGCAGGAGCGCGCGUGUCUGUGUGUACAGGGUUGUCACCUGGCCCACCACUGUUUAAUGUGGAACACAUUAACCAACAAGUUACAGAACAAUAAAUAUAUGUUUUUAUAUUUAUA